rnacentral:misc_RNA from 1 species
UCAUAUCCAUGUAAUUGCUGCAUAACUUCUGGAGCCAUCCAGCAUGAAGUUCCAACAAAGGUAUUUCUGGAACGCUGCCUAUCUCCUGUAUCAAACAUGCAUGCUGACACUCCAAAGUCUGCUAAUUUAACUGCACCAUCAUUAUCAAUUAAGAUGUUCCCAGCCUUAACGUCUCUAUGGAUAUGACCAUGCUUAUGAAGAUAAACAAGAGCAUUGAGAGUCUCACGCAACAUGGUAGCAAUAACAGGCUCUUCAAAACCCUCUGGAUAAGCAUAUUUCAUUAUAUGAAGGCAGGAUCCCCCAGCCAUAUACGGCAUCACAACCCAAAGGUUGUGACCAGUGGUAAAAGAACAAUGUGCUCGUAAUACAUUUGGAUGAUCAAUCAAGCUCAUUGUCUGUACCUCUCGCCGAAUGCCAUCCAGGUCAUUGUUGCACCUUUCCAGAUCAAGAACCUUAAUAGCAACUCUCUCAUUAAGUGGAACACAGAGAGCCCUAUAAACAGUGGCACUGACACCUUCACCAACUUCUUCAAAUAACUUGUAAUCUUUUGCACUUACAGGAUACCUUUUCUCUGAAAUGUGCUCCAUGGUUUCCUCUUGUAGCACACCAUUAACGCCCCCCUUUACACCAAGAUGUACCAGAAAACAUAAAUGAACUGUAUAUGAUGAAGGUAGAAACUAAGUCGAUGUGGGGUUUCUUCCAAUUUGGUAGCAUUUCCCCCUUCUUCAGCGUGAAAUGUUGUAUGAAUCCAGUGGCAUCAUCAAGAUGAUAUUACCAUCUGCUU